ACGCUCGACACCUACGGGGCAGCAGUCGGGAAUAUUGCGCAAUGGAGGAAACUCUGACGCAGUGACGCCGCGUGCAGGAAGAAGGUUUUCGGAUUGUAAACUGCUUUAGACAGGGAAGAAAAAGGACAGUACCUGUAGAAUAAGCUCCGGCUAACUACGUGCCGNNCGCGAGUAUNUGNGGCGNGNGAGAG
rnacentral:rRNA from 1 species